rfam:Citrus sinensis cultivar Ridge Pineapple sweet orange scaffold00521_contig_16, whole genome shotgun sequence.
GCACCAGUGGUCUAGUGGUAGAGUAAGACCCUACCAGGGUAUAGACCCGGAUUCGAUUCCCGGCUGGUGCA